rnacentral:rRNA from 1 species
AGAUUGAACGCUGGCGGCAUGCUUUGCACAUGCAAGUCGAACGGUAACAGGCCGCAAGGUGCUGACGAGUGGCGAACGGGUGAGUAAUGUAUCGGAACGUGCCCAGUCGUGGGGGAUAACGCAGCGAAAGCUGACGCUAAUACCGCAUACGAUCUAUGGAUGAAAGCGGGGGACCUAAGGCCUCGCGCGAUUGGAGCGGCCGAUAUCAGAUUAGGUAGUUGGUGGGUAAAGCCUCACCAAGCCAACGAUCUGGUAGCGUGGUACUGGAGAGGACGACCGAGCCACGACUGGGGACUGGAGACGACGGCCCUAGACUCCGUACGGGAGCGAGCAGGUACGGGGUAAUUUUGGGACUAAGUCGGGCG